GUGCUUACGCAAUAGCGUAGGCUUUUGCCGAAUGUAAAUAAUUCGGAGAAUAAGUGGUGGGUAAGACUGGUGCCAGCCGCCGCGGUAACCCCAGCGCCACAAGUGGGGAUCGGUUUUAUUUGGUCUAAAGCGUUCGUAGCAGGUCUUGUAAAUUUUUUGUGAAUUUGUUGCGCUUAACGCAACAGACUGCAGAAAAGACUGCAAGACUAGGAACUGGGAGGAGUAAGCGGUAUUCUCGGGGGAGCGGUAAAAUGUUAUAAUCCCGAGAGGACCACCUGUGCCGAAGGGGGCUUACUAGAACAGAUUCGACUGUGAGGGACGAAAGCUAGGGGAGCGAAACGGAUUAAAUACCCGUGUAGUCCUAGCCGUAAACACUGUGUGCUAGAUAUGGCAUAAACUUAGAGUUUGUGCUGUAUCGCAACGAAGGUGCAAGCACACCACCUGGGAAGUAUAGUCGCAAGGCUGAAACUUAA
rnacentral:rRNA from 1 species